AGAAACCACUGCCCUCAGCCUUAGAAGCUGCAAUGCCUCUGCAUGCUGAAGCAGCCAUUAGCAUGGAGUGCUUCUUUCUAUUUGCUACCAAACAACACACUGCUACCAUGAGAAAAAAGACCAGGUGGCAGGAAACAAAGUGCUGGGAAGUCCCACCUGGCCAAGGAUCCCUGAGGCUGCUCUACAGCGCUGUUCUCUCAAGAAUCUCCAUGCUCUCUGCAGACACUGUGAUUAUUCCUCCCCCUGCUAUUUAUUUCAGUUUCCAGACCACCUGCAAGCCCCCAGAGCUCUGUGUGAAGGCAGAAGGUAAAACUAGAAGGAAAGGAGAAGGGGAGUGUUGCUUCCCACAUUGCUGAGAAAGCAGAUUGAAGAAGCCUGGAAUUUCCUAUGGUGCUGUCCUGUUCACACCAA